UGCCAGCCGCCGCGGUAAUACAGAGAGUGCAAGCGUUAAUCGGAAUCACUGGGCGUAAAGCGCACGUAGGUUGAUGUUAUAGUCGGAUGUGAAAGCCCUGGGCUUAACCUAGGAAUUGCACCCGAUACUGGACGUCUAGAGUAUAGUAGAGGGAAGUGGAAUUUCCGGUGUAGCGGUGAAAUGCGUAGAUAUCGGAAAGAACACCAGUGGCGAAGGCGGCUUCCUGGACUAAUACUGACACUGAGGUGCGAAAGCGUGGGUAGCAAACAGGAUUAGAUA
rnacentral:rRNA from 1 species